rnacentral:rRNA from 1 species
UACGUAGGGUGCGAGCGUUGUCCGGAAUUAUUGGGCGUAAAGAGCUCGUAGGCGGUGUGUCACGUCGGCCGUGAAAACCUGGGGCUUAACUCUGGGCGUGCGGUCGGAUACGGGCAUCACUAGAGUUCGGCAGGGGAGACUGGAAUUCCUGGUGUAGCGGUGAAAUGCGUAGAUAUCUGGAGGAACACCGGUGGCGAAGGCGGCAUCCUGGACCGGUAUUGACGCUGAGGAGCGAAAGCCAGGGGAGCAAACGGG